GCGUUCUAGAUGGGGCUCGACCACCACAUUUCCCACGCCCAUGGGAAGGGCUCCAAAAUGGGAGAGCCAUCCCUCGACGGAUCUGAGCGGGGUAGGGAAGCCGUGAAGAGAUUGACGGAUCUGAGCGCCAUCCCUCACCAUGGGUCGCGAACCUCAAUGCUUCCUGAGGUCGUUGCCAUCUCACUCCAUCUUCGACGCAACGGGCUGCAGCGGCGCAAACUGACCGUAGGUGCGGCGUCCUCCCACAGCUUCCGCCUUCAUGAGGAAAUCCCCUUCUUCUUCCCCGACCUCUGCCACCCUCUCCUGAUCUGCGUUACCAUGCUUUUCUACUUUGACCACAACACGCAAGCCGGUAGGAAGGAAUACAAGGAACGGGAGAUCCAUCGCCUCGACUCUGUCCUGGACAGACUCGACUGGGGUGGCUACAGAGAACAACAAAGUUGGGUAAACUGAGUAGAAUUACAGGUAGGUUUUGUGAAAUGGGAAUAGAGUCAGGUGGCGUGCUUGCCUGCAGAAAUAACAGCGACAUUGAAGAAGAAGUCCAUGGAGAGGAUCCUUAGCACACUUUGGAUCCAGUGUCUCUCGAGUGGGUGAAGAGGAUGUUGUUGUGCCGAAAGAAAACAUGGCAAUUGUAAGGCAUGCAAGCCGAGCUAUGUUUCAGCAAUUUGAACCAAUACUGUAUGGGCAGGCACAUACGGGAAGUGCUCGGUUUGGAUUACUUUUGUUUCCAUACUGGAGUCAGCAGGAGGGGAAUUGGAGGUUCUUGCUCCUCUGCAAAAUCAGUCUGCCAGCUUGCCCCAAGAGAAGAGUUUGAUCAAAACAACAUCUAUCUUAUCAAGCACACAUGGCUAGAGUGGCAUACGAGGAAGAAUUUGACUGCAAGUGGCGAUGGUUUUCACAUAUGAUCUGUUGUUCUUCCACACACUACAGGUCAUGGAUCAUGUUGGUAUAGAAGCACAUGUUUGCUCUUCUGUCGCGUAUAGACAUUGGAACAUAUACAUUCAUGUGCUAGAGCUUGUUUGGUCGGGAGAUGCCAGCCCAAAAGUUAGAAAAUCACGCAACAAAGAAUUUAUUUUAAAGGUACACACCGGCGUAGAGACCGCCUUUCUGCACUAGGAACUCUCCAUAUCGCCAACUUGGCUGCACUAGGGACUUGCCGUCAUCGACACCUGUCUGCCGAGACUUACUACGUACGGACCACGACGCAUGCCGCUAAUGACGUCUGUCUUGCAGCUGACCCCGAUGCACCCUUAGACCAGGUGGUUGUCGCCACCGCAUUAUUUUUCUCCACCAGGAGGUCAUCUCUCGAAGGUAGAAAUGACCAUAUGCGAACGUGGCUGCCCAUACCAAUCAUCUCCCAUGGCGCCUCUCUCUCUCUCUCAUCGAAUCCAUUCUCUCAUAUUGCAGGUUAAUUCCGUUCCGGUUUAGGAAACCUGCAGCAAUCAAACCAUUUACCGUGUGGUAUGAUUUUUUUGUGCAAUGGAUUUUUUUCCCACUAGAUGCACACGAGUUGAAACAUGGUAUCUGAAGUUUUGCCCUAUCCGUACCACAUUAUUUUGCAUUGUCGACGUUCUGUACUCUGAACUUCGUACAAAAGGUAAGCAUCUACAGGAUGGUUUACCCUGCUAAGGCAUUUUAUUUCUACAGAUUACACUAAAGCAUUCAAAAUCUUUAGUCAUGUAUAUUGGUCACCAUUGUGGUGCUUAUGCGAAGAACAACUUUGGAAAUAUGGGCGUUCUGAUUUUUGGUCAGCUUUUGUUCAUGAGUUAUUUGUGUAAUGACUACCAUGGGCGUUUAUGUUCUGGUCCACUUAUUUCUUGAAGAUUACGGUAAGAAAGCUCCUCGAAUAAAAGUGGAAUUCAAUGAUUUCCUUGAGAAAAACGCAUGAGCAUUUCAAUGGAACUUAUCAUGGUCAUGGUGCUGCACCCUAGAUUAGGGAGGAGACCCGGCGUGGCAGGGAUUAUAUUGACUGCCACACCGCCAAUGUUGUCCCCUGUAAUCCUCAACCUCCCUCCCAGCAAUGCUGACACAGAGUUCUUCCUGGUCCCGGUGUC